UCUUUUUGUUGGAUCACCAAGAUCACUGCAUAAUUCGCGCGGGAGGUGAAGUCUCAAUAGUCUUGAUUUUUCACCCAUUUUUUUCCUUGUUGCCUUGUUUCACAAAUUGUGUAAUUAUUAUCAAAAUAUAUGUUGAAUUAUCCUUAGCCUGUUGUCAAAAUUAGCCUGUCGUCAAAAUUUCUGAAGUCAAAUUUGAUUGUAGUCUUGUAUCAUGUACAACUUGCUUAUAUU
rnacentral:misc_RNA from 1 species